rnacentral:rRNA from 1 species
AACGAACGCUGGCGGCGGGGUUUAGGCAUGCAAGUCGAGCGAGAAAGGGGCAACCCGAGUAAAGCGGCGUAAGGGUGAGUAAUAGAUAGUUUACGUAUCCUGCUGACGCGGAUAAUUUCCCGAAAGGGAUUGUAAUACGCGAUGAGACCACAUCCGAUCCGUCGGGAGAGGUCAAAAGUUCGGGAUCCUUCGGACCGAGCGCAGUGGGAGCGGACGAUCUCCGAUUAGCUAGUUGGCGGGUAACGCCGCCAAGCGAUGAUCGGUAGCCGGCCUGAGAGGGUGUCCGGCCACACGUGGGACUGAGACACUGCCCAGACUCCUACGGGAGGCUGCAGUCGCGAAUC